rnacentral:tRNA from 1 species
GCCGCUGUAGCUCAGCCCGGUAGAGCAGCGCUUUUGUAAAGCGCGGGUCGCAGGUUCAACUCCUGUCAGCGGCU